GAUGAACGCUGGCGGCGUGCUUAACACAUGCAAGUCGAACGGAAAGGUUAUUCCUUGCCGGGGUACUCGAGUGGCGAACGGGUGCGUACCACGUGGGUGCUCUGACCUGACCUUCGGGAUAAGCCGGGGUAACUGGGUGUAAUACCGGCUAGGACGAUGGAAUGUUUGCUAUUGUGGGAAGUUUUUUGGUAUGGUAUGAGGUCGCGGCCUCUAAGCUUGUUGGGGGGGUAUUGGCUUAUCAAGGCGUUGACGGCUAGCCGGCCUGAGAGGGGGUACGGCCACAUUGGCACUGGGAGACGGCCGAAACGCAUACGGGAGGCAGGAGGGGAGAAUAUCCGACAAAGGCCGCGAGAGUGAAGCAGCGACUCCGCGUGGAAGACUACGUCGUUCGGGUAGUAAGCGUCUUUCGCUAGAGACGAAGCACUAUUGACGUAACCUAGAGAAGAAGCACCGGCUAAUUACUU
rnacentral:rRNA from 1 species